CUUUUUUGCCCCACUGUAAGUAGGAGGAGAUAUGGAGGAUAAGAUAUGGAGGAGGAGAUAUGGAGGAGGAGGUAUGGAGGAAGAGAUACAGGUCUCACUCCUCCUCCUCCAUAAACACAGAGGGUUGGUGAGGAGAGGACCAGCUAGCAGAGGGGUGGUGAGGAGAGGACCAGCUAGCAGAGGAGAGGACCAGCUAGCAGAGGAGUGGUGAGGAGAGGACCAGCUAGCAGAGGAGAGGACCAGCUAGCAGAAGAGUGGUGAGGAGAGGACCAGCUAGCAGAGGAGUGGUGAGGAGAGGACCAGCUAGCAGAGGAGAGGACCAGCUAGCAGAGGGGAGGUGAGGAGAGGACCAGCUAGCAGAGGAGAGGACCAGCUAGCAGAGGAGUGGACCAGCUAGCAGAGGGGUGGCGAGGAGAGGACCAGCUAGCAGAGGAGUGGUGAGGAGAGGAUCCGCUAGCAGAGGAGUGGACCAGCUAGUAGAGGGG
ensembl:lncRNA